GACGAACGCUGGCGGCGUGCUUAACACAUGCAAGUCGAACGAAGAGCGAUGGAAGCUUGCUUCUAUCCAUCUUAGUGGCGAACGGGUGAGUAACGCGUAAUCAACCUGUCCUUCAGAGGGGGACAUCAGUUGGAAACGACUGCUAAUACCGCAUACGAUCUAACCUCGGCAUCGAGGAUAGAUGAAAGGUGGUGUCUACAUGUAUGCUAUCACUGAAGGCGGGGUUUGCGUUUGAUUAGCUAGCUGGGGGGGUAACGGCCCACCAAGGCGAUGCUCAGUAGCCCGUCUGAGGGGAGGGACGGCCACAUUGGGACUGAGACACGGCCCAAACUCCCACGGGGGGCAGCAAGGGGGAAAUUUCCGCAAUGGACGAAAGUCUGACGGGGCAACGCCGCGUGGGGGAUGACGGCCUUCGGGUUGUAAAGCUCUGUUAAUCGGGACGAAAGGCCUUCUUACGAAUAGUGAGAAGGAUUGACGGUACCGGAAUAGAAAGCCACGGCUAACUACGUG
rnacentral:rRNA from 1 species